ACGAGCGAUCGCUGCGUGACGUCAUUCACGAUCCUUGCCGCGAUUGUGCGCGACGCGAACGAUAUCGCGCAAUUGACAUUUCGAAUAAUUUAUCGUCUCGUUAAUAAGUCCUGCCAGGACAGAAGGGCGUAAUCCCGGUACUCGUAUCGGUGUUAAGUUGUACACAAGUUGGAAAACUUUUUCUGUCUCCUCUGUCUCGCAAUUAACUCCCCUUUUCUUGCAAGAUGAGAAUCGAAGAAACUGAGGUUAUGUGGCCGUAAAUUAGAUUGUGGAUUUAUAGAAAAUUGAAAGAAACUCACCCCUUGGACGAUGGAGACGAGCUUCUGGCACUAUAUGCACAACGACGAUGAACGCUUGAAGCAUCAGUGGAUAACGCAUGGUUGCAGUCAGGCCGGGAUACGCCAACGUGAGCUUUCACUCUCCUUCACCUGUGAUAUAAAUAUAAAUCAUCAUCACAAUUUUUAUCACAGUUAAUCUACGAGAUUAUAAUGUUGUUGACGAAGAAUUGUGCAAGUGGAGUCUAUCGUUUAAAUAUUAAUUGAUUUGUCAAUCCUCGAAUUUUUUUUUUAAUUCCUCCAAAGUUAAAAAAAUUCGAUCAAUUCCCCGAAUUAUUAACGAUAAAAUUUUAACUUCAGAAUUCAAAUACGUCGCCAAAUUCGUCGAACAAAAAUCCGAACAGGGGAAGACAAAUCCGAGGUUUAAUCUCGAGUGAAAAGAGAAAAAAAAGCAUUCGAAAUAACUCAACUGUUGGGAUUAGAACACCAGGAUGAUAAAAUGUUUAGAAGCGGGAUUCGCUUUCAAAGAUACAUGGCCAAACCGAUCGAUUCGAUAUCUAAAAGAAGCUUAAAACGAAUCUCCCUUUGUUGUUGCGAAAAACAAAGUUCGAAAUUGACGAUUCUCAGAUUAUUUUUCCUACAGGAAGAGAAAGAGUGGUGAGUUUUUCACUGGCUUGGAAUAACAAGGAAAGGAAAGGAAUAAUCCCUGCGAAAAGGAAGGAUCGAGGAAUUAAAGUUGAAUUCCAGCUUGGUCGGUAAGGAAGGAAGGAAGGAAGGAAGGAAAGAAAAGGCGGGAUGCUUUCGUAGCAGCAGCUUUGCGUCCCAAGGUAUGAAGCUUGUUACGCGAGAUUCCUCUGGUGGUCAGGCGGAGUAAUGCUCGGUAGUUAUGGUAAUCGGAUUUGAACGAGAACCCCCGUGAUUGGACUCGAUACAACCGUACCUAUCCCUCCCUCCCUCCCUCCCGGUGAAUAGCCGGAUUUAUUUUGUAUUAUCACGUGUCCCCGCGUUCCCAAUUAUUUGCCGCUCCAGUUUCAUUAUAUUAUCCACAGGGGGCGCUGGAAAAUGCUGGAAAAUUAUUGCCAGCCAACCACCGACGAUGAUGAUCGCGAAAACAAGAAAAUUUGAUCGGUUUAAGCAGAUUCUCCUCCACGAUUCUUCCAAGUUGGUACGUAUAAUCGAUUCGAUCGAAAUCGAGGCAAUUAUAUUUUAAACUGUGCGAAGAACAAAGAAACUCAUGAAUAAUAAUCGAAUCCGCGUUUCUUCUUUGCGACUGUCGAUUAUCGAAUCGGUGGGAUAAAUAAAAGAGGCGACCUUAAGACGAAGGAAAAAAGAAAAAAGGAAGAAAAAAAGGAAAAAUUAGCAAUCGAGCCGAUUCGAAGUCGGAGCACGGAGAAAAUAAAUGUUAAUUGCCAUUGCAAAUGUAUCGGAAGUUCGCUCGUGUUGAUAGCUAUCCCCGCGUGGCUAAUUACUGAUCUCGUAGACAGAGGGAGAAAGAGAGAGUUAAUCAACUGACUUUGAUUUCCCCAAACCCUUUCGGUAUUCCGCACCGUUUGCCACCCUUCUGUUGUUAAUUAGGACAAGGGCUGAUAGAUACACGUAGAAUUGCGCGUGCACAGGCGUUAAAUUUAUUUCAAACUGAAAAUUUCAAUCGAUUGACAAUAAUUCGUUGAUUGCAAAAGUAAAUUAUCGAAUAUCGGUAAUUUUAAUACCCGUUGAAAUUGUGGAUUCAGUCUUAUUACUGUUAUUAGAUACCUUUUUUACUUUUAAGAUAGAUUAUGUGUAAUGUUUGGAAAUUAUAAUCAUAUUUCUCUUUGUAAAGUUAGAAUUUAUUAGUAAAAGAUCAGGUUAUGUUAGGUUAGAAAUUAAAUUAGCCAUUUAUUUACUUUAUUUAUUUAUUUUAUUAGUAAAGAUUAGGUUAUGUUAGGUUAGGAAUUAAAUUAGCCAUUUUUUAUUGUUACAUUUAUUGUUCUCUUCAAAAAUUUAGCUAGUUUCUUUAAAAUAAUAGGACAAAUAUGUUGAAAAUUUUUAUCGAUUAAUAAUAAUCCAUUGAUUGCAAAAGAUUGUAAAAUUAUUACUAUUAUUAUUAAAUAUAUCUCUUUGCUUUUAAGAUAGAUUAUAUAAUAUUUAAAAAUUAUAAAAAUUGUGCCUUAUAAUUAUAUCAUAUAUAUUUCUUUUUCUCUCUCUCUCUAUUCCAAGAUUGAAAUUUGAUUAGUAGAAUUAUUAAAUUAAAUUUUUUAUUUCAUCAGCAAAGAAUUAACUUAACUUAAACUUAUCAAACUUAUCACGGUGUUAUAUGAUAUUAGAAAUUUUGAGAUGUCAGAUAUUAAAAGAUAUUAAAACUUUCUUAGAGCA